rnacentral:misc_RNA from 1 species
AAUAGAUAAAAGACAGUAUAAAUAUUAAAAAACUCUUUGACUCAGUCGCAUAAAAUCAGAUUUGAGUAAAACGACACCAACUAUGAAGUUAACAGUGAGCUUAUUUGUGCUGUUUGCAGUGUUUAGUGGUUGUUAUUCUCAGUUUCCACAAUUGGGAACAACGGAGACUUCAAUAGGAUACGGAACAGGAUAUAAUGGGGACACAAUUAUAGAGUCUGUUUUUAGUUUGGCGGAUUCCAUUUUGGGUUUUGAUCAGGCAGUGGUGGAGGCACUAAGUAAUAACUUCAAUAAGCUCGUAGUAGAGUUCGAGGCGGCCAUAGCAAAUACCCUACCCUUGGUUAAGGAAUUUUUCCCGGAUCCCUCAGCUUAUGAUGUGAUUGUUUACAAAUUAAGCAAUUAUACCGAUCAAGUUACUGCAUAUUUUAACCAAAAUACAGAAAACCUGAAGGCAGCCUUGGAUAGCAUUCCUAAGCCAGAUCUACCUAUAACUUCGCAGGCUUCAAUCGGGGCCCUAAUUCCAAGUUUUGUAGAAGUAUUUAACUAUUUAAGCCAGGUGAUAAUUCAAGUUGUUCAAAAAGCUCCACCUGUUCCUAACUUUUUUUCUGUUCUAUUAAGUGUGUUCUUCGAUUUUGUUAAAUCUUUAACAAAUUUCCCCAAACUUCUUGCCAGUGACGUGUUCUCCGGUGCUGGUGCAUUUGGCGAUCUCCUAGAGAUUAUAGGAAAGAAAAUCAUCCCAAGUAUAGUACCUGGCUUCAAUAUAUCAGCCAUAGUUUCCGGUAUUCCCGAUAUAGUACCCAGCUGGAAACUUUAAGCUUACAAAGCUUUAUAGGCCUGGAUCCCGCGUACCAAAAAAGUUUAUUAAUUGCGGAAAAUAAUAGCUUAACGGUGUCUGGGGAAGUUUUAAUUGUGGAACAGGUUAAAAAUUUGGAACGUCAGACUACGAAAACGU